rnacentral:rRNA from 1 species
UACGUAGGGACCGAGCGUUGUCCGGAAUCAUUGGGCGUAAAGAGCGUGUAGGCGGCUGACCAAGUCCUGCGUGAAAUCUUGCGGCUCAACCGCAAGCGGUCGUGGGAAACUGGUCGGCUAGAGUGCGGGAGAGGAGAGUGGAAUUCCUGGUGUAGCGGUGAAAUGCGCAGAUAUCAGGAAGAACACCCGUGGCGAAGGCGGCUCUCUGGAUCCCUUCUGACGCUGAGGCGCGAAAGCCAGGGGAGCGAACGGG